AUGGCCUGGACCCCUCUGUGCCUCUCCUUCCUCACCCUCUGCAAAGGCUCUGUGGCCUCCUAUGAGCUGACACAGCCACCCGCAGUGUCAGUGUCCCCAGGACAGACAGCCAGGAUCAGCUGCUCUGGAGAUGUACUGAGCGAUAAUUAUGCUGACUGGUACCUGCAACAGCCAGGCCAGGCCCCUGUGCUGGUGAUAUAUAAAGAUGGUGAGCGACACUCUGGAAUCCCUGAGUCAUUCUCUGGGUCCACCUCAGGGAACACAACCACCCUGACCAUCAGCAGGGUCCUGACCAAAGGCAGGGCUGACUAUUACUGUUUUUCUGGUGAUUAG